AGAGCGAACGCUGGCGGCAGGCCUAAUACAUGCAAGUCGAACGGAUCCUUCGGGAUUAGUGGCGGACGGGUGAGUAACACGUGGGAACGUACCCUUUGGUUCGGAACAACUCAGGGAAACUUGAGCUAAUACCGAAUGUGCCCUUCGGGGAAAAGAUUUAUCGCCAUUGGAGCGGCCCGCGUCUGAUUAGCUAGUUGGUAGGGUAAAGGCCUACCAAGGCUACGAUCAGUAGCUGGUCUGAGAGGAUGAUCAGCCACACUGGGACUGAGACACGGCCCAGACUCCUACGGGAGGCAGCAGUAGGGAAUCUUGCGCAAUGGGCGAAAGCCUGACGCAGCCAUGCCGCGUGAAUGAUGAAGGUCUUAGGAUUGUAAAAAUUCUUUCAGCGGGGACGAUAAAUGACGGUACCCGCAGAAGAAGCCCCGGCUAACUUCGUGCCCAGCAGCCGC
rnacentral:rRNA from 1 species